UGGUGUGCCUGACCAUAAAAGAGGAGUCCGAAUGAGGAUAUGGCUAGGGAUCGAUUGUGCUGCCUUGCCAUGGACUUCCAGGAGCCAAAUCACAGACUCUGCCCUGCCUGCUCUUGAAGAUGGCAGAGUACAUAAGCUGGACAAACCCAAGAUGCGUGCUGGUUGGUUGAUGUCCUCCUGGAUCAUCAUCCAGGUAGAAUGAUGAACACAGCACUUCCAGAGACUGCAGGGCAGGCAUGCAAGUAUACUUUCAAAGAGCUUGCAUGAUGCUGCACAACAGCGCCAUCUGGCAUCACUUUUAUGACAAGUUUCCGGUGCAGCCUGAAGGGAGGAGGCUGUAAUUUAACAGCAUGAACUGCAAACUAUCCAGCUGUAGCUAUUUAACAGAUAUGAUAUCUGCUUUUUUGGUCUGUGUGCAAGUUACUGCUAUACCACAUCCUGGAAUUUAUCAGUCUAACCAGUACUGGCCAGCACACAGACAUUAUGCUUGACCAAGACUACUGGAUUUUGAAAUUCUGGAUAUUUUCGUGAUUGGGGGUAGUAAGUGAUGUGUGUUGUGAACAUAAAAAUGUAAACAUUUAUAAUAUCUCUGCGUGAAAUAUGCAUUCUAAUGUGUGUGGAAAUGGUGACCGACAUACCACACAACAGUACAUCAGCCCAGUAACAUUACAUGCAUACCAGUUGCGCAACUGAGCAAACACAAAAAUUGUGCAAAUGAUAUUACACAAGAGUAAACCCACUGGAAAUGGAAAGUGCUUGGUAUACAAGGGGCCCACCCAUUCAGAUUACACAUGUCUGUCUGCACUUAUGACUUCUUGUGUUCCCACUUUGAAUGAUGUUGCUGAAAUGGGAGGAAAUCGUUCUUUUUGAUACAGGAAAGA